GACCGCUCCGGUGGCCUAGUGGUUAGGGCGUCCGCCUUGGAUGCAGCAAGUGUUGGUUCAAUCAACGGUUGGGUCA